rnacentral:lncRNA from 1 species
CAAUAACUAUUAGGUGAGGUGCACGUCAUCGGUGGGAUUGCAGCACCCACUAGGAAUCCUUUGUCACAUUAGGAUUUUCGUUCCCUUCCCGAGGAGUGAAGGGAUCCGAUAAAUUAGUGGGAGUCAUUAUUUGCAUCUUAAAACUUCUAGAAGCAAAUAUAACUGCUAAAUACAAAAGUCUAACUUGAAUCUCUACUCUCACAGUUAAAAAUGUCUGUCUCGAACCCUCUAGCCUGCAUUCUUGAAACCAAUCA